rnacentral:rRNA from 1 species
AUUGAACGCUGGCGGCAGGCCUAACACAUGCAAGUCGAGCGAGCGGCGGACGGGUGUGUAAUGUAUGGGGACUGCCCGAUAGAGGGGGAUAACUACUGGAAACGGUAGCUAAUACCGCAUACUAUCGGAUAACCCAUAUGGGAUUAGAUCGUAGGUGAGGUAAUGGCUCACCUAGGGGACGAUCCCUAGCUGGUCUGAGAGGAGGAUCAGCCACAUUGUGACUGAGACACGGCCCAGAUUCCUACGGAGGAAGCAGUGGGGAAUAUUGCACAAUGGGCGCAAGCCUGAUGCAGCCAUGCCGCGUGUAUGAAGAAGGCCCUAGGGUUGUAAAGUACUUUCAGUCGGGAGGCGUUACCGACAGAAGAAGCACCGGCUAACUCCGUGCCAGCCGCCGCGGUAAUUC